GUGCUCCGUGCUCGGGGCCGGCGGGGAAGGGCGCCGGUUCCACUUUGCGGAGCGAAAUGUGUUGAUAACACAUACAAACUCCGGGCAAACCGGGAUUCGACUACAUUUUCCUUGAAGGGCUGGCACCUGGGGUGGUGCAUCGGCCUCUGGCACAGCAGACUCUCCCCGGGGUGAAGGAGAUGAGACCCCCGCUCCAUCCAAGUGCCAGUACCCAGCUCUGCUUUUAUCCUGCGAUCCACGUAAAACUGGCAGGAGCAUGAGCCGAGUGGAGUUUAUCUGUCCCAGGUGCUGUCAGACUCAUGGUGGCGAUGCCCAAGGCUCCAGGCGCUCCCGGCGGUACAAAACACGGCAAUAAGCAGGUCGUAUCUCAGCCUCUGUUUUACAGGCUGCCCUGCCCGGAUAUCUCGGAGCAGCACUGGGACAAAGCCAACACUACCACCAAAGGGGAAACUGAGGCACCAAGCUUUUCAUGGGAGUGAAAUGCGGCGUGCCCUCGCCCCUGAGUCAGCCUGGGCCAGCCCUGGAGGGCUCUGCGUGCUCCUGGGAGCGGGAUGUGCUUAACACGGCCCCUGUGCCCAGACUUCUCCCGUGAGAUAACACCCAUCUCCCAGACAGGAGGGCGGACCGACCUCAGGAACAGCGCGAAGGACGCGGUGACAGCGAAAUAGCGCCCGCUCCGCAAACUAUCACGCCGUCAUCCCCGCGGGCAGCUCCACCACUGCCUCUUCCUUACAAAUGAUCGUAUGCUGUCCCUCUGAGGCCACCAGCACCUUUUAGGCCAAGGGACCAAGAACUGGACCAGGGCUUCAGGUCUAUGUUGAACCAGAGAAAAAUCACUAAAUAGUGAUUUUCAGCUAACACUUUCAGAGUAAUCAGAGAUGCCAAAAGAUGCUUGAGAAUAAGAUGUGCAACUGAUUAUUCCGAACCUGGAGAAAACUGCAAGAGAUUACAGCGAAGGGAGAGGCCUACACCAAGGGUAUGGAACCAGGAGACUCCAUGAAGGUGGGAUCAGAGGCACAAACUGUGCUGAUCUAAGAAUCCAGGACUCAUCCCACAGGUGUUGCUACAUUUGGAAGGUGCAACAGCUGAUGCUUUUUAAUGGUGUGUGAUGAAAUAUAUUAUUUUAUGAAGAUCUUUUACAGCAUCUUGCCAAAGGUAUC